UAGUCAAGUUUAAUCUCAUGGGGGAGAGUUGAGGAGUGAAGUGGAGUGAGAAAACAUUUUCUGCCAACAGGCUAAAUAAUCUGCUACAAGGUUUUGAAGAAUACCCUAUGGUAGACAAACUCUGGACACAACCUGGCUGAAACAAAAUGUUGAGUUGUGUCUAGACCAGUGCUGGGACUACCCAAGGUAAAGUCUGGAGGUGGUACAGAAGUUCCUCAGCCACUCCAGUUAAUGACUUUGACUUUGAAGCAAUCCCUUCAAGAUGGGGUAUCUGGGUUAGCCCCCGGAGCUGUUCCCGAAGACCUGUGGCAGAGGAGGCCUGUUCCUCUCCCUCCGCUGGAUUCUGCUGCCCCACAUCUGGCCAGAGAUGACCCUUUGAAGGGCCAUUCCAGAACUCACCCAGUGUACACACCAGGCCCGCACAGGUGCAGAAAUGGAAGAAUAAGUACCUGAAGUAGGAGUUUAGACUGUGGAUUGUGGAAAAAGAAAUCUCAAACUUCUGUGAAUCUUUCAGUUUUAAAAACACUCAUCCAUCCACCUGAACCUUUGGGGAUUUUGCACAGACCUAAUGAAGCUUAAAAACAGCAACUAAAAACCCUCUUUUGACCCCUUUCA